UGGGGAAUAUUGCACAAUGGGCGAAAGCCUGAUGCAGCAACGCCGCGUGAGUGAUGAAGGCCUUCGGGUUGUAAAGCUCUGUCUUUUGGGACGAUAAUGACGGUACCAAAGGAGGAAGCCACGGCUAACUACGUGCCAGCAGCCGCGGUAAUACGUAGGUGGCAAGCGUUGUCCGGAUUUACUGGGCGUAAAGGAUGCGUAGGCGGAUUUUUAAGUGAGAUGUGAAAUACCCGGGCUUAACUUGGGUGCCGCAUUUCAAACUGGGAAUCUAGAGUGCGGGAGAGGAGAAUGGAAUUCCUAGUGUAGCGGUGAAAUGCGUAGAGAUUAGGAAGAACACCAGUGGCGAAGGCGAUUCUCUGGACCGUAACUGACGCUGAGGCAUGAAAGCGUGGGUAGCAAACAGGAUUAGAUACCCUGGUAGUCCACGCCGUAAACGAUGAGUACUAGGUGUAGGAGGUAUCGACCCCUUCUGUGCCGCAGUUAACACAAUAAGUACUCCGCCUGGGAAGUACGAUCGCAAGAUUAAAACUCAAAGGAAUUGAC
rnacentral:rRNA from 1 species